GGUGACUGUGUGAAACAGACGGUGCAGGACCAUGGGGUAAAGGGGCUUUAUCGUGGCUUGAGCUCUCUGCUGUAUGGCUCUAUCCCCAAGGCAGCUGUCAGAUUUUAAACAGGGGACAAAACAGACUCUCGCUUCAUGGAUGAACACAGCAGGCCAAGCAGCAUCAGAGGAGCAGGAAGGCUGACGUUUCGGGCCUGGAUGUGUUCAUCCAGCUCUACACCUUAUUAUCUCAGAUUCUCCAGCAUCUGCAGUUCCUACUAUCUCUCGCUUCAUGGAACCUGCUAUUGGAAGACAGCUACAGAGCUUUCUAAACACCGAACGUGGGAGCAUUUAGGCUUUUAAACCAGCUCUAAACAUCAGCACUGACUGUCAGCGAGAGAGUAAAUGGCCCUUUAAUUGAGUAGAGUGAAAUCCCCAAGGGAGCUGGUGUCUUCAAAAGAGUAAAUUACUUACCAGGACCAUCAGACCAUCUACAUAUGGUGGCUCAGUGGUUAGCACUGCUGCCUCACAGCGCCAGGGACCCGGGUUCGAUUCCACCUUCGGGCAACUGUCUGUGUGGAGUUUGCACAUUCUCCCCGUGUCUGCGUGGGUUUCCUCCGGGUGCUCCGGUUUCCCCCCACAGUCCAAAGAUGCGCAGGUUAGGUGGAUUGGCCAAGCUGAAUUGCUCAUAGUGUCCAGGGAUGUGUAGGCGAGGUGGAUUAGCCAUGGGGAAAUGUGGGGUUGCAGGGAUAGGGUAGGGGGUUGGGUCUGGGUGGGAUGCUCUUCGUAGGGUCAGAGUGGACUUGAUAGGCCAAAGGGCCUGCUUCCAUACUGUAAGGACUCUAUGAUACACGGUCCAUCACCAAGACUACUCCCAGCCUUACGCUACCUUCCUGCCUGCAUCAGCCCUUCCGCUGCAGAAGCACCUUUCCAGGAUUUCAUCUCCAGAUUGGAGUCUGUCGCUGCCCUUCCUGUUAGGCUGUCGCCGUAUACCUUCUCUCAAAAUGAGCUGCUCAUAGUCUCCGUACCCACAUCCUACUCCUGUGCUCCUGGGCCAUCAGCUCCUCCCUCUCGAAAUGCUCAAAAAUCUGUUCAAACACCUUUGCCUCUCCUCAGUGGCAGGUUCGAUACGAACUGCUCGAUUUUAAAUAAAAACAACUUUCACUCACUUCCCCUCACACCAUUCAGUAGCUGGAUUACAGAUCAAUCAUGGAGUUGUUGACCAAUCAUUAGUGAGAAAAGGUCUCUUGAAAUCUUCCUGUAAAGCCCCUUGGAGAUUCUUUAUUAAAUGUUCUAUGUUUUCUGAGACGUGUAGAACAGUUGUUCUGUAGGUCUUUAUAUUAUUUUUCCGUGGCCUUUCAACCCCUCUGUGCGCCCCUUGAUCAUCACUUCCCCAUUGCUGACCAUACCCUCAAAUGGAUUGAUCCCAAGUUCAGGAAUUCCACACUUUAAACAUCUCUCCCUAUCUACCUCACCCUUAAUUUUCCCUAAAAAUUCCUUUAGAACUCCAAUGUCUCCCUUUGUGGCUCGGUGUCUCAUUUUGGUCGAUAAUGGUCUUUUUUAUCCUUUAUUCAUUCACGGGAUGAGGGUGUCGCUGGCUAGGGCAGCAUUUAUUGUCCAUCCCUAAUUGCCCAGAGUCAACCACAUUGCUGUGGGUCUGGAGUCACAUGUAGGCCAGACCAGGUAAGGAUGGCAGAUUUCUUUCCCUAAAGGGCAUUAGUGAACCUGUGAAGCGCCCUGGGUCAUUUUGCUGUAUUAAAGGCAAACAGUUGUUGAA